AACGAACGCUGGCGGCGUGCCUAACACAUGCAAGUCGUACGACGAAAGGGGGCAACCCCCGGUAGCGUGGCAGACGGGUGAGUAACACGUGGGCAAUCUGCCCGGAGGUGGGGGAUAACCCUUCGAAAGGAGGGCUAAUACCGCAUGACAUCCCGGGGUCUUCGGACUUCGGGAUCAAAGCUGGCCUCUACUUGUAAGCUAGCGCCACCGGAGGAGCCCGCGCCCCAUUAGCUAGUUGGUGAGGUAACGGCNCACCAAGGCUACGAUGGGUAGCCGGCCUGAGAGGGCGACCGGCCACACUGGAACUGCGACACGGUCCAGACUCCUACGGGAGGCAGCAGUGAGGAAUCUUGCGCAAUGGGCGAAAGCCUGACGCAGCGACGCCGCGUGGAGGAUGAAGGUCUUCGGAUCGUAAACUCCUGUCGAGCGGGACGAAAGUCC
rnacentral:rRNA from 1 species